GAGGCCCUUCAAACCGGCUGGAUUAUUUUUCUUCACCCUUGUCUUUUGCGCACUUGUUGUUUCCUGGGCGGGUUCGCUCGCCACCAGGACCACACCAUAAACCUUUUUGUUAAUGCAAUCAGCGUCAGUAAAAAGUAAUAAUUAUUUUACAACUUUCAACAACGGAUCUCUUGGUUCUGGCAUCGAUGAAGAACGCAGCGAAAUGCGAUACGUAGUGUGAAUUGCAGAAUUCAGUGAAUCAUCGAAUCUUUGAACGCACAUUGCGCCCUUUGGUAUUCCAAAGGGCAUGCCUGUUCGAGCGUCAUUUGUACCCUCAAGCUUUGCUUGGUGUUGGGCGUUGUUUGUCUUUGGCCUUGCCCAAAGACUCGCCUUAAAACAAUUGGCAGCCGGCCUACUGGUUUCGCAGCGCAGCACAUUUUUGCGCUUGCAAUCAGCAAAAGAGGUUGGCCAUCCAUCAAGACUACAUUUAUACGUUUGACCUCGGAUCAGGUAGGGAUACCCGCUGAACUUAAGCAUAUCAAUAAGCGGAGGAA
rnacentral:rRNA from 1 species